CUGACCCUUGUAUCCCAAUACAACUCUUUCCCCUGUCAGCCUACAUAUUUUAUACCAUGCAUUUAAAAUACCCUGAGAAGGGGUUCAUGACACCAGGAAAGGUUUAAAGAUCUCCAGCUCAUCUCAAUAUUAACCACAGGUGAACAACCAAAAGCCACCGCAGGUUGGGGAACAGCAACCUAACCUAGGGCGCCAGCUUGGCACUUAACCUCGGAUUCCACAAGCUAAGGAAGCCCAGACACUUCCUGAUGACUGUGUCUGGGGCAGGUAAGGUUAGAUCACAGCUCACAGGCACCCCCACCAAGGACGAUGCCACGAAGACGACUGUGACGCAUCCCUGCGGCCACCAGAACGUGCCCAGCCCAGCAAGUCCGCUACAUACGAAUGAGUUCCAUUCCGAGAGCGUGUUGAUUUGAGGCCUUGAGGGCAAACAGAGAAAACUUACCACCCACCAAAGGGGACCAGUUUGAACCUAAGUUUUAGCCUUUUCCCAUGUUAAAGCCAACAGUGGUUUCAACGUAUGCGCUUUAUCCAAGUCAGUGCUGCCUCAUCAAAAUUUCUCCAAACCCACUUACACAACCCGAAACCCCAACACAUCCUGGUCCCUGUCGAGAAUUCCUUCAAGGGGGAAGGGGCUGCCUAAGCACGUGCCAAGCUGGGAAGCCAGCGCUUCUGUCCACAACCCUGAUUGGCCGCCCAGGACAUGCCGUGGACACCUGGGAAGGAGGCAACAGAGCCAAAGGGCUGUUCUUCAGUGAAUCUUCUCCAGAGAUGGGCCAUCAGGUUUCAGGGCACUGAGCUGGUGAGACAGUAGUUCUUGCACCAAAACACAGCAGGUGUGAUCCACCUCUCCAGAAAGCUCCACAGGCAGUGACACAGUCAGAGCACGGCAGAGACGCCCUGAUAGAGCCAGGGCACUGUCUGUGUCCGCCACGCCCCUUGGGGAGACGGGGCUGGUGUGCUGGACAUACCAGCAGGACGAGCCCUUCUGCAGCCGCCUCAGGGGUACCAAGCCAGGGGUUGGGUCUCUGGGUCCCUCCCUCAUUCUGCUCAGAAAGCCAGCACCCCGGGGCACCAAAACAAAGCACAGGAAGUGCUCACCUAGGCGAUUUUCACACUCUCCCGGCAGCCAGGCCAAGGGCAGGAGAAGAAUUCGGGAAGUCCCAGGUUCUU